UGGAGGGUGAGCAUCUGGUGAUGCAGGGGUCCUGCUAAGGCCCUACGGAUUCAUACCCGUGAGUUUCGAUUACUCCUCCCUCCGC
rnacentral:tRNA from 1 species